GGCGAGUGAAGCGGCAAAAGCUCAAAUUYGAAAUYUAGUMCCUUCGGUGCUCGNGUUGUMAUUUGUAGAGGGAUACUUUGGGACCGUUCCUYGUCUAUGUUCCUUGGAACAGGACGUCAUAGAGGGUGAGAAUCCCGUGUGGCGAGGAGUGCGGUUCUUUGUAAAGUUCUCUCGAAGAGUCGAGUUGUUUGGGAAUGCAGCUYUAAGUGGGUGGUAAAUUCCAUCUAAAGCUAAAUAUUGGCGAGAGACCGAUAGCGAACAAGUACAGUGAUGGAAAGAUGAAAAGAACUUUGAAAAGAGAGUGAAAAAGUACGUGAAAUUGUUGAAAGGGAAGGGCAUUUGAUCAGACAUGGUGUUUUGCGCCCUCUGCUCCUUGUGGGUAGGGGAAUCUCGCAGCUCACUGGGCCAACAUCAGUUUUGGUGGCAGGAUAAAUCCAUAGGAAUGUAGCUUGCUUGCAAGUAUUAUAGCCUGUGGGAAUACUGCCAACUGGGACUGAGGACUGCGACUUUGUCAAGGAUGUUGGCAU
rnacentral:rRNA from 1 species